UUGCUUCAUAGAAGUCUUCAAUGUCACUUUUUAUUAAUUUAAUGCAUCCUUGUGGAACAAAAGUAUUACGUAUACCCACAAAUAUAUGAAGCAGCACAACUGUUUUCAACAUUUAUAUAAAUCAGAAAUGUCCCUUAAGCAUCAAAUCAACAUAUCAGUGUCAUAAUUCCUGUAAUAAUGCAAUAGUUUCUGUUCUUUGUUCAGUUCUUGUCCUUGUUUGUUCCUGUGGUUUCCACUGUUUGUCUCUUUGACGAUUAAUGCACCAGUCUCUUUUCCAGUUUGCAAACAUGACAAACUUUCGUCAUAAACAUAACAACUGAAGUGAUUUCUGCAGGAUCGCGUGACACUGGAGACAUGAUGCUAAAAAUUCAGGAAUUACGUACAAUUCAAAAAUCAUUAUUUGCUGUUUUUACUGUUUCUUUUUUGCAGCCCGGUUAAAAUCGUGACAAAUGACACACAGUCUUUUUGCUCUGAGUUUUAACUCAUUUAUUUGUAUGCAUUUUUCAGAAAGCAAGACUUAAUAUCUUAAGCCAUUCUCUAGAGGUGGUGUUUGUGCAAGAAAAGCAAAACAUGCUCGUCAGACUUGUCUCUCCUCUCGCUCGGUUCAGUGCCAGUGCUUUUGUUUUUCCAUCUCUCCAACAGGAGGGUCAUCGGCUGGUCAGGUCCAAAUGAGAAAUAUUUGGCUCGUUCCUCUGGCGGCCGCUCAGAUCCAGCCUUUUACUGUUUCUCCCGCAGCGAACGAUGCCAAAGUGGAUGUUCUCUGAUGGACUGGAGUGCUGUGGAUUAUUGUGAUGUUUUUAUCAGA